rfam:Moorella thermoacetica ATCC 39073, complete genome.
UAACUAAAUAUUGGUUUGCCGUAGACAGCAGGUGCCAUCGGCUUAAAUUUGCCUGCCGAGGUAAAAAAGUUAACCGUCUAAACGGUUAGUCAGCUAUUGCCCUCGCCUGUCUGCGGGGGCUUUAACUUUUUAAGC